rnacentral:rRNA from 1 species
GCAGUAGCCGCGGGAAUACGAAGGGUGCAAGCGUUACUCGGAAUUACUGGGCGUAAAGCGUCUGUAGGUGGCUUUUCAAGUCCGCCGUCAAAUCCCAGGGCUCAACCCUGGACAGGCGGUGGAAACUACCAAGCUGGAGUACGGUAGGGGCAGAGGGAAUUUCCGGUGGAGCGGUGAAAUGCGUAGAGAUCUGGAGGAAUACCGGUGGCGAAGGCGGCCCCCUGGACAAAGACUGACGCUCAGGUGCGAAAGCGUGGGGAGCAAACAGGAUUAGAUACCCGAGUAGUCCCUGUCUCUUAUAC